UGGGGAAUAUUGGACAAUGGGGGGAACCCUGAUCCAGCCAUGCCGCGUGUGUGAAGAAGGCCUUAUGGUUGUAAAGCACUUUAAGCGAGGAGGAGGGUACUGGUAUUAGUACUACCAGGUACUGGACGUUACUCGCAGAAUAAGCACCGGCUAACUCUGUGCCAGCAGCCGCGGUAAUACAGAGGGUGCAAGCGUUAAUCGGAAUUACUGGGCGUAAAGCGCGCGUAGGUGGUUCGUUAAGUUGAAUGUGAAAGCCCCGGGCUCAACCUGGGAACUGCAUCCAAAACUGGCGAGCUAGAGUAGGGCAGAGGGUGGUGGAAUUUCCUGUGUAGCGGUGAAAUGCGUAGAUAUAGGAAGGAACACCAGUGGCGAAGGCGACCACCUGGGCUCAUACUGACACUGAGGUGCGAAAGCGUGGGGAGCAAACAGG
rnacentral:rRNA from 1 species